rfam:Gossypium raimondii Chr03_contig_226, whole genome shotgun sequence.
CACGUCAGCGCGACUUGCUGACAUGGAAGGAAGUCGCUCCCUAAAGGAUGCGAUUUCCUUCCAAGUCAGCAAGUCGCGCUGACGUGG